AUAUUCUGAGACAGAAGGCUGCUACUUUUAAAGUCAUUUUGAGAAUUCAUAGCUGGCCCCUGCUUGCAUGCCGUCGCUGUUGCACGGGUGCGGCGGAGGCUGACCAGUGCUGCUGAGCUGACAGCGUGGGCCAGGUUUGACCAGCACCACUGUUUCCUCCAAACAGCCACCUUUUCCUUAGGACGCAAAGCACGCUUUUACGUGAUAGAAUGGAUGAACAGUCACAAGGCAUGCAGGGGCCUACAGCUCCACCGUUUCAGCCACAGAAAGCUUUGCGACCUGACAUGGGCUAUAAUACGCUUGCCAACUUCCGAAUAGAGAAAAAAAUUGGCCGUGGGCAAUUCAGUGAAGUUUACAGAGCAACCUGCCUGUUGGAUGGGGUACCAGUAGCGCUGAAAAAAGUUCAGAUAUUUGAUUUAAUGGAUGCCAAAGCCCGUGCUGACUGCAUCAAAGAAAUAGACCUUCUUAAGCAACUGAAUCAUCCAAAUGUAAUUAAAUAUUAUGCCUCAUUCAUUGAAGACAAUGAACUGAACAUAGUGUUGGAAUUGGCUGAUGCUGGAGAUCUCUCUAGAAUGAUAAAGCAUUUUAAGAAACAGAAGAGGUUGAUACCUGAAAGAACAGUUUGGAAGUACUUUGUUCAACUUUGCAGCGCACUGGAACAUAUGCAUUCUCGUCGUGUCAUGCAUAGAGAUAUAAAGCCAGCUAAUGUGUUCAUUACAGCUACAGGGGUGGUAAAGCUUGGAGAUCUUGGACUUGGACGAUUUUUCAGCUCCAAAACCACAGCUGCGCAUUCUUUAGUUGGUACACCUUAUUAUAUGUCUCCAGAGAGAAUACAUGAAAAUGGUUACAACUUCAAAUCUGACAUCUGGUCUCUAGGCUGCCUGCUGUAUGAGAUGGCUGCACUGCAGAGUCCCUUUUAUGGUGAUAAAAUGAACUUGUACUCCCUGUGCAAGAAGAUAGAACAGUGUGACUAUCCACCUCUCCCUUCAGAUCACUAUUCAGAGGAACUCCGACAAUUAGUUAAUAUGUGCAUCAACCCGGAUCCAGAGAAGCGACCAGACAUAACCUAUGUCUAUGAUGUAGCGAAACGUAUGCAUGCACACACUGCGAGCAGCUAAACAGACAUCAGAUCAUGAAGAAAAGAACAGAAAUAUUCAAAUGUAUAUGUUACAGUAGAUGCUACCUAUCUUGUGGACAGUUUACUGCUUCCAGUAGUUGAUUAUAGCAAUAGAAAGAGGCUUCAAACUGGACAGAAAUGGCCCCCAAGAUAGUGCAGAGAUGUUCUGGGAGUCCCUGCUUCCUCUCCACCUUCUAGAUGCUCAUUCUGUGCCUUCCCUGGGGCAUCUGCUGGGGGCACACCAGAGCCAUGGCUAAUAGAAACUUGGAAAAUAAGUAAUAACCUUGACACUAUCCUGUUUAUGCUCCUGUGAUGUCUUUUCUCAUCCUGUGAAUAGGAAAUCUGCCAUUUAACAAAUGGCUAGAAAGAUCUUUGCUAUUAAUGUACACUCAUUUUUUGCUCAUUACACAGUUUGUAUUAAAAAUGUGCGAUUGCUGUACGAAGCUCAUGAUUUGAUUUUAAAUAUAUAGCGUUGGUACUCCUCUGUGCACUUCGUUGCUUCGUUGCUUCUUUGCCUUCGCUAAUGCUGGACCAUUAUAAAGAUGAUCAUUACAGAUGAGUAUUGCGUUUUCCGGUAUAAGAUUUGGUUGGGAGAGGGGGCAGAAGGGAAGACGUAACUGAUAUGCUUGUGUUUGGCUGCUGAUUGUUUAAGUCGCAGAAUCAUUCAGGUUGGAAGGGACCUUGGGAGAGGUCUCUAGUCCAACCUCCUGCUCAGACUGGGUCAAUACUGAGUUCAGACCAGGUGGCUCAGGGCUCCUACCAGUUAGAUCUUGAAAACCGCCAAAGAUAGAGAUUCUGCAGCCUUUCUGGGCAGCCUGUUGCAAUGCGUAGCCAUCCUCAUAGCAAAUUUUUUCCCCUGUGUUCUGUCAGAACCUGCUCUGUUUCAAGUUACAACCAUUGUCUUUUGUUCUCCUGCCACUCCUGAGAUAUUCUUUGUUAUAAAAAAGGUAAGUCAAAUAUUGA